GGGUCCUUAGCUUAGUGAUUAAGGCACCAGAUUAGCACCUUUGAGGUUCUGGGUUCGACUCCUGGUGGGAGCA